AUGUGGAACGAGGGGUCUACGCGGCAUCAGUUAGAGUCCAUAGAAUCAUAUUCCUCACUAGCUUCAUAUCUUCUUUAGAUCAUGAAGAUAGUCAGAAGAACGACAAUCGCCAUCAGACCAUCACACCACAAUGCUGAUAUACACACACAAAGGGUUUGGAUGGAUGAUUAAAGGUGCGUUCAGUUAUGAUGGUGGGGUGGGGGGGAGGUCUGCCCACCUGACUAUUUAAGUUAAGAUUUAACAUGAUUUUCUUUUCACAGAAAAAAAUCACAAAAAAAUCAGUUGAUGUUCAUUAUAUUCUCAUACAUAAGUGUGCCAAAAAACUCAUGAAAAUUUGAAAUGAAUAUAUAAUUUCCUUGGAAAAACCUCGGCCAGUCAUUUUCAGAUUGAACAAAAAAAUUUUGGGCCAGACAAAGUGUAAUGCGACCUACCAGAGUUUUUUCAUCAACAAAAGUAACUUGAAGUUGCUUCCAAAAUUCAAAUAUCUCAUUUGAGACUUCUAUGAUUUGCAGGUAUUGAAAUUGGUUAAAGUGUUUUGAUUUAAAAAAACUAUUACCAAAAAAAGUAAAAAGUUACCUUUUUCCCCCCAAGUCCUUUUUGUGUAAUGCGACUGAUUAAUUUUUGUGUCAUCAUGGUGUCCAUAAUAUACAGCCUACAA